GGCGGCGUGCUUAACACAUGCAAGUCGAACGGGCUCUUCGGAGCUAGUGGCGGACGGGUGAGUAAUACAUAGGAAAUCUGCCUUUAAGUGGGGGACAACCAGCCGAAAGGUUGGCUAAUACCGCGUAAUAUUGUUGGUUGAGAUACUGACAAAGAAAGAUUUAUCGCUUUUAGAGGAGCCUAUGGUUGAUUAGCUAGUUGGUGGGGUAAAAGCCUACCAAGGCGACGAUCAAUAGCUGGUCUGAGAGGACGAUCAGCCACACUGGGACUGAGACACGGCCCAGACUUCUACGGAAGGCAGCAGUGGGGAAUUUUCCGCAAUGGGCGCAAGCCUGACGGAGCGACGCCGCGUAUGGGAUGAAGUAUUUCGGUAUGUAAACCAUUGUCAGUGGGGACGAAACAAAUGACGGUACCCACAGAGGAAGCAUCGGCUAACUACGUGCCAGCAGCCGCGGUAAUACGUAGGAUGCAAGCGUUGUUCGGAAUUACUGGGCGUAAAGAGUACGUAGGCGGUAUGGUAAGUCUGACAUUAAAGACUGAGGCUUAACCUCAGGACUGUAUCGGAAACUGCCC
rnacentral:rRNA from 1 species